UUUGCUUACGGAUGUUGCUGCACACUAUUCUAAAAUACCUGCAACCUUUCCUCAUAGUCAGAGCUCAUAUAUAUAUAUAUAUAUACAUAUAUAUAUAUGAAAUAUUUUCGAGGCAAAUAUUUUUCAUUAGGAAUGUGAAAAACAUUAUAGAGCAUGAGGAUAUAGGCUACAUUGUCAUACUGAAUUAUUUAAAUACAUUUUAUAUAAAAGUUGAAUUUGUUCGGAAGUAAAAGUAAAUCAGUGUAAAUAAUACCAAGUAUCUUUUGAAAUGCUGAGAUUCCAUCUACGUGAUUUGGUUUUCAUAUCCGUAUACAUUCCCUGGAUAUCUGCUCUGAGGCCACCAUGGAGCUUGUUUUUGAGAGGCUGCAACUUGACUCUAAUGUGCUGUGAAUGAGAGACCUGAGCUGGGAUUAAGACCGCCGCGGCUGGCCGGGCCCCACAGCCCGAUGUGCACAUGGAGAUCUAGGGGUUCCUUGGUGGCACAUGUGAAACACAACCUUAAAAUAUCACAGACAUAAAGACUGUGCAAGCACCAACUAACGCCUUGCGAGUGUACCAAAACAGGAAAAAGCAUGUAGCCGUUUUGCUAGCCAGAGUCCAGCUCACAGGCCCUUUUGUUUGGAUAAAUUGCAGGGGCACAAACAAGCCGAGUGCCUCUGCGACCACACGCUCCGCCUCUCAGUCAAUCCAGACAAAUUCUACGAGUUGUGCUGAAGCUUUUAAGCCGUAAUUGAGCACAGGAUGCCCAGGAAAACCAAAGCCGGUUUUGCAUAGACCUGCGUUUUUAUAGCUGCUAUAGUAUUCUGCUGUGCCUUUUUUUCCUCCCCGGCCAGACAGACACCACAAAACUGUUCAAGCGUGAUGGGAAGUCGCCACCUACACGGACUCAAAGUCAGCAGCUGAGGAUUUUCAACAUCAUAGAAACUAAUCAUGUUUGUUACAAGCUAAGGUGACAGAGAUGUUGGCUCGCAGAGACGGCGACGACAAGAGGGCUCAAGCGGGACCACACAGGGGCCAAGCGGGGGAAACCGACCAACUCCACGGUCAAUGGGAGUCCCUCUGACUGACUCACAAUGCUGGAUCAGCCUGUGGAGGGUGUCCUGGGAGACAAGGCGUCAUCAUCAGAGGGCCUGCAUGGGACAAAAGGACAUAAACUGGACUUCAGUGGGGGAGAAAUGAAAUUUUACAAUGGAAACAAACACAGAGGGGAAAACAGAGCGAGAGAAAGAGUCCCAGUUAAAUUAUAAAGAAGGCAAAGUUUACUGUCUGGAAAAGGAACCUGUGUAAAAAUUCAAUUCUGCGACAGAAGAAGAUAGUGUCUUCAUUGCGCGUUUGCAUUUGAAGAAUUGAGAGACUGUAUAACCAUAAAAACAGAACACAAUUAGAAGAUUAGAGUUUACAUUUAACUCGCUAGUUGUGUUUUUAACUCUAAACAUAAAUACAGACAAUAGUUAGCUUGA